GACGAACGCUGGCGGCGUGCUUAACACAUGCAAGUCGAACGGAAAGGCCCUGCUUUUGUGGGGUGCUCGAGUGGCGAACGGGUGAGUAACACGUGAGUAACCUGCCCUUGACUUUGGGAUAACUUCAGGAAACUGGGGCUAAUACCGGAUAGGAGCUCCUGCUGCAUGGUGGGGGUUGGAAAGUUUCGGCGGUUGGGGAUGGACUCGCGGCUUAUCAGCUUGUUGGUGGGGUAGUGGCUUACCAAGGCUUUGACGGGUAGCCGGCCUGAGAGGGUGACCGGCCACAUUGGGACUGAGAUACGACCCAGACUGCUACGGGAGGCAGCAGGGGGGAAUAGUGCACAAUGGGCGGAAGGCUGAUGCAGCAACGCGGCGUGCGGGAUGACGGCCGUCGGGUUGUAAACCGCUUUCGCCUGUGACGAAGCGUGAGGGAGGGUAAUGGGUAAAGAAGCAACGGCUAACUACGUG
rnacentral:rRNA from 1 species